CCUACGGGCGGCAGCAGUGAGGAAUAUUGGUCAAUGGACGAGAGUCUGAACCAGCCAAGCAGCGUGAAGGAUGACUGCCCUAUGGGUUGUAAACUUCUUUUAUAUGGGAAUAAAAUGUUCCACGUGUGGGAUUUUGUCUGUACCAUAUGAAUAAGGAUCGGCUAACUCCGUGCCAGCAGCCGCGGUAAUAUGGAGGAUCCGAGCGUUAUCCGGAUUUAUUGGGUUUAAAGGGAGCGUAGGUGGAUUGUUAAGUCAGUUGUGAAAGUUUGCGGCUCAACCGUAAAAUUGCAGUUGAAACUGGCAGUCUUGAGUACAGUAGAGGUGGGCGGAAUUCGUGGUGUAGCGGUGAAAUGCUUAGAUAUCACGAAGAACUCCGAUUGCGAAGGCAGUUCACUGGACUGCAACUGACACUGAGGCUCGAAAGUGUGGGUAUCAAACAGGAUUAGAUACCCUUGUAGUC
rnacentral:rRNA from 1 species